rnacentral:rRNA from 1 species
AGGGAAAGCGGGGGGUAGGCCUAACACAUGCAAGUCGAACGGCAGCACAGUAAGAGCUUGCUCUUACGGGUGGCGAGUGGCGGACGGGUGAGGAAUACAUCGGAAUCUACUUUUUCGUGGGGGAUAACGUAGGGAAACUUACGCUAAUACCGCAUACGACCUACGGGUGAAAGCAGGGGAUCUUCGGACCUUGCGCGAUUGAAUGAGCCGAUGUCGGAUUAGCUAGUUGGCGGGGUAAAGGCCCACCAAGGCGACGAUCCGUAGCUGGUCUGAGAGGAUGAUCAGCCACACUGGAACUGAGACACGGUCCAGACUCCUACGGGAGGCAGCAGUGGGGAAUAUUGGACAAUGGGCGCAAGCCUGAUCCAGCCAUACCGCGUGGGUGAAGAAGGCCUUCGGAUCGUAAAACUCUGUUAUUAGGGAAGAACAUAUGUGUAAGUAACUGUGCACAUCUUGACGGUACCUAAUCAGAAAGCCACGGCUAACUACGUG